rnacentral:lncRNA from 1 species
GGGUGGGGCCCUUGGAACAGCCUGUGGAUUCUGUUCAUAAUGAAAUAAAAACUGCUAAGACUUGUGCAGAGGAAAGCAUGGACAGUCAAAGGCAUCCUUGCUGCUGUGUGCUGCAGACAGUGGAGGAGUGAGCUCCUUAACAUAUUGUUUUCUUCAGUGGUGUGGUCCCUGCUGCAAUCCGUCAGUUCUCAACUGUCUCCCUUAUGUUGGCUUUCUUUGAACACCGGGAACCUUUGCAGUUUGAAGAACAUGAAGAUGCUUGCUGAUGCAUUUGCCUCAAACACAGGCUUAUUGUGCCACUUUCUUCUAGAGCUGAGCCAACUGUGGUUCGGAAGCCAGUAGAGGUGACGUUGCUGGGACACAAGGCUAGCACAAACUGACUCCCUACAGUGCACGUUCUACUGUGCUGUGUUCUUCUGACUCUAUGCUACAUUGGCAACCACCGGUUUCCUCCCAUUCUGCCAACCCUCUGGCUUGCUAGGAGUUUCCAUGGAGAAGAGGGUGGUAUCUUUUGGAGCUCCUCCAUUGAACACUCCCUGAUGCUCUACUCUGGCUGAGUCUCAGUUCUUGGUGGUUGUUUAUGAUAUUCAAGCAUCCGCACUGGCCUGUGAUGUCUCCCUGACUCCGUCCAUCCCAUCCUCUUACAGCUGUAUUCUUCCUCUCCUGGCACCAAGAGUGUCAGUCAUGCCGUGCAUCAGGGCCCUUCUGUGACGCACUGCAGCCUUUCAAGAGUGCCUCUUCCCCCACUGGAUGUGAUUUUCAAUAUUUAGAGAUGGCUCAGAUGGAAAAGUUCUUGUCACACAGCAUGCACACUGGGGUUUUGUUUUUAGAACCUAUAUAUAACUCAGGCAAGGCAAAUGGUCAGCCUGAAAUUCUAGCCAUCUAAAGGCAGAAACAAAAGAGCAAGCUUUGGCUAGCCAGACUAGCCAAAUCACGAAGACUAGCUCAAUUAGGAGAACCUGCCUCACUGAACACAGUGGGAACAACUGAGGAAGAUUCCCAGUAUCAACCUCUGACUUCACUCCAGACUUCAGUCUCCAACUUGCACAAAUGUCUGCAUGCAC